AUUACUUUGGCAGAUAAGUGUGAUGAAUUUAGAAUUCAUUUAUGUAAAUAUAUUUUACAAGUAAUA
rnacentral:tRNA from 2 species